rnacentral:lncRNA from 1 species
UGAGUGAGUCCUGAGGGACUGGGCCAGGAGCAGAUUCUAGUUCCUGGUUUUCCUGAAAAAUUCCCUUGGAAUCUACUUGGCCAGAGGCCUAGGCUACUCAGAGGCAUCUCCUUCCUUCCCACCUCAAGCAGAAGCAUCUGUGAUUGGUGGCUGCCACACCCAAUAAAGACAGAACUCCCUGGGGUGAUUCAUCUGACCUUCAGAAGCCCUGGGCUCUCUUCGGGACAGUUCCCAGUUGGAUUUUUCCUCUUGGCCUCAGAUCCCACAUCUGGGAAGUGGACACAGCAGCCUCAGCUGCCCUGAAAAGGGGUAGGCUGAGCAUCAC